rnacentral:rRNA from 1 species
ACGUCAAAUCAUCAUGCCCCUUAUGUCUUGGGCUACACACGUGCUACAAUGGAUGAGACAAAGUGAAGCGAAGCCGCGAGGUGGAGCGAACCACGAAAAGCAUCCUCAGUUCGGAUUGCAGGCUGCAACUCGCCUGCAUGAAGUUGGAAUCGCUAGUAAUCGCGAAUCAGCAUGUCGCGGUGAAUACGUUCCCGGGCCUU